GCCUUUUCACAUGAGAUUGCAAGUUUCUGAAACCAAUAAAUUAAUACAGUGACGGUAGUUGUUAAAUCAAAACCUUUUCAUUGACACAAUCUUUUCCAAACACUUCUGUAGACAUUUGAAUUCGUUCAAAACGGUAUAUA
ensembl:ncRNA C25E10.15 ncRNA